rnacentral:lncRNA from 1 species
CUGAUAAUGCUAAUGUGAAUGUGAAUGUCAAUGUGAAAGCUAAUGUAAAUGCAAAUGCGAAUACGAAUACUAAUACUAAUUUGCGAAUGCGAAUGCUAGAGCUGUCAAAACGGGUAACCCGGCUCAACCCGGCCCGGCCCACCACGGGUUGGUCACUUAGUGAGUCAACCCAACCCGGCUCAUUUAUUAGCGAGCCAGAAAAACUUGAACCCGGCCCGACCCACCACGGGUUGGUGGGUAAACGGGUUGGCUCACUAUCCCAUUUAAUUAUAUUUUUUUAAAAUAAAAAAAAUACAAACUUUCUAUAAUUUAAAUUUAAACAAAUUUCACUCCUAAAAAAUUAUGUUAAAGACCAAUUCCGACAAUCAAUAAAAAAAUAUUAGUAAAAAAAAAAAAGAAUCAAUACUCAAUAACAUAUUCAAAAAUAUCAAAAAGAGUUUGUUUAAAUAAUGUAUACUCAAAUUGUUUAAAUAAAAUGAACAAAAUCUGAUACAAGCAUGUCAGAACAUGAAAAAAAUCAAUUCAUGUCUUCAAAUCCCCCAAAACCAAAAACAAAUUCGCAAACCCCUAGUUUUGUCAUUAUAAAAAAAGAAAAAGAAAGAGAAGUGAGAAAACAAAAAUGUGGAGAAAAAAGAAGAAAAAAUGAAGNGUGUUUUACCUGAGGAAUUUCAGUGAAGUGAGGGUGAGAGCACCGUCAAAUGAGAGAAGUACGUGAUUUGUAAGAGCAGAUGUUACUUUUUUGGUAUACACAGUGAGUGAAGAUAGUAUUUUAUUUUUUAGGGUUUCAAAAAUAAAAUAAUAAAAUAAAAAAAUAAAAUUAGGUAGGUGGGUUGGUGGGCCAACCCGGCUCACCACGGGUUCAACCCGCAUGAGCCGGGUCUAAAUGAGCCGGGUUGAAAUCUGACCCGCACAUAAGUGGAUUGUAUUUUUCAAACCCAACCCGGCCCGAAUCCGUGACGGGCCGGGUUGGCUCGCGGGUUGUGACCCAUUUUGACGGCUCUAGCGAAUGCUAAUAUGCAAAUACUAAUCCUAAUUCUAAUGUAUGAAUCCGAAUGCAAAUGUGAAUGUUAUUGCUAAUGCUAAUGUUAUAGGGACACUUCAUACAAGAAAAGAAAUCAGAGAAAACAACCGAUAAAAAAAUCAUUCAAGAACUAAAAAUUUCCAAUGAUAGGAAAUGGAAACAGAAUUAAAGCUAAAGAACAUAAAAGUAAUGCAAGAAUCAAAAUAAAGAGCAAAAUUUGCAAACCACAAUAAGGAAAUAAAAAAGAAAUUGGAACAAUCAGUGCAAGAAACCCAAACUAAAAAUACAAGAAACAAAAGUAACAUCGAAAUUCAAAAAUAGAAUGCAAAAUCAAAGAAUUCAAUCGUUGUAAAAGUAAAAUCAUAUGCAAGAAAUUAAAAUAUUAAACAAAAACAUAAAAUUUGGCAUGAACACUAAACUGAAAAGUUAAAAAUUUAUUAAGAAAGAAUUGAAAACAAGAGUACAAUACUGGAUUCACCAAAACACUCACGGUCUGUCACCCACCUGAGAACCUAGCCGAAUUCAAACAUUGAUUCUUAACUAAGCCCACUAGCCAAAUAACCACCUUGUUCACAUUUUUGCAUUGCACCUUUUGCUUUGAGCCUAUUUACCCCUUUUUGCAUUGUUUAGCUCCUUACAAGCCUUUAGACAAAAAAAACCAAUAAAUACCUAAUCAUGGACUGUGAGAGGCUAUGAAAAAUAUUUUGGAAAAUCUUGUGAACUCAAGUAUGGGGAAGUGGCCUGAGCAGUUUGGUACAAAAAAAUGUUGAACAGUGUGAAAAAUAAGUUUGAAACUAAAAAUAUAUAUUGUGGUCUGUGAUGAGAAAAUAGAAAAAGUUUGAAAUGAAGAGUUGUAGGAAGGAAAAUAAAAGAAGAAAAGUGGCCUGACCAGCAUGAUACAAAAAAAAUGUAUAAUGUGAAUAAGAAGUUUGAAAUUAAAGAAAGAAACAAAGCUAAAAAAAGAGAAAAAAUAGAAAAAGUUGUAAAUGAAGGGAGGUGGAAGAGAAAAGAAAAGAGAAAAGUGGUCUAAGCAAUAUACAAAAAAAAUUGAGUAGUGUGAAAAAGAAGUUUGAAUUUGAAAAAAAAACAGCAAAGCCGAAAAAAGAGAAUUAAACUAUGGUUUAUGUUUGAAGAGAAAAAUAGAAAAAGUUUGAAAUGAAGGGAAGUGGGAAAUAAAAGAAAAGAAGAAAAGUGAAGGUUUUGCCUAAAAUGAAAACACUCAACUCACACGGUUGUUUCCAGAGUUUUCCGAUGUUUAUGCUAAUGUCAAUACUAAUGCUAAUGCUAAUGCUAAUACUAAUGCGAAGGCCAAUCCUAAUGUGCGAAGGCCAAUGUGCGAAUGUUAAUGUGUGAAUGCUAAUGCUAAUUGAUAAU